rnacentral:rRNA from 1 species
UACGUAGGGUGCGAGCGUUAAUCGGAAUUACUGGGCGUAAAGCGUGCGCAGGCGGUUUUGUAAGCCCGGGGUGAAAUCCCCGGGCUCAACCUGGGAAUGGCAUUUGGGACUGCAAGGCUGGAGUGCGGCAGAGGAGACUGGAAUUCCUGGUGUAGCAGUGAAAUGCGUAGAUAUCAGGAGGAACACCGAUGGCGAAGGCAGGUCUCUGGGCUGACACUGACGCUCAUGCACGAAAGCGUGGGGAGCAAGCAGG